rnacentral:misc_RNA from 1 species
GAUGAAGAACGCAGCGAAAUGCGAUACGUAAUGUGAAUUGCAGAUUUUAGUGAAUCAUCGAAUCUUUGAACGCACAUUGCGCCCGCCAGUAUUCUGGCGGGCAUGCCUGUUCGAGCGUCAUUUCAACCAUCAAGCCUUCGCUUGUGUUGGGGCCCCCGGCUGCCGCGGCCCCCUAAAUCCAGUGGCGGGCUCGUCGUCGUACCGAGCGCAGUAGACAUCCUCGCUCCGGGAACCCGACGGGUGCCGGCCGUGAAACCCCCCCCAUCAAGGUUGACCUCGGAUCAGGUAGGAAUACCCGCUGAACUUAAGCAUAUCAAUAAGCGGAGGA